rnacentral:rRNA from 1 species
CCUACGGGAGGCAGCAGUGAGGAAUAUUGGUCAAUGGACGAGAGUCUGAACCAGCCAAGUAGCGUGAAGGAUGACUGCCCUAUGGGUUGUAAACUUCUUUUAUAUGGGAAUAAAAUGUUCCACGUGUGGGAUUUGGUAGGUACCACAUGAAUAAGGAACGGCUAAAUGCGCACCAGCAGCCGCGGUAAUACGGAGGAUCCGAGCGUUAUCCGGUUUUAUUGGGUUUAAAGGGAGCGUAGGUGGAUAGUUAAGUCAGUUGUGAAAGUUGGCGGCUCAACCGUAAAAUUACAGUUGAAACUGGCAGUCUUGAGUACAGUAGAGGUAGGCGGAAUUCGUGGUGUAGCGGUGAAAUGCUUAGAUAUCAGGAAGAACUCCGAUUGCGAAGGCAGCUCACUGGACUGCAACUGACACUGAGGCUCGAAAGUGUGGGUAUCAAACAGGAUUAGAUACCCCUGUAGUC